GCGUCUGUAGCUCAGGUGGAUAGAGCAGCGGUUUCCUAAACCGCGUGGCGGGGGUUCGAGUCCCUCCAGGCGCACCA
rnacentral:tRNA from 1 species